GUCAUCCCCUGUUGGUCCUCAGUCCUGAGGGCAUUUCUCACAUGGAUAGCUUCUGUGCCUGACUUACUGAGCCACCCCUGGAGAUGUGCUCUUGGCUGAGAAGGUUUGCUCUUGGUUGAGAAGUUGCAAAACAGACCUAGAAGAGAGAUUUUCCCUGCUGUUUGUGACCAUCUCUGUCAAAGAGUGAAUCAGAGAUUGUGACUGUGUCACCUAAGCGCAGCUGAAUCCUACCAUGAGUGUCAAAAACAGAUCAUCUGAGAACAUACCCAGACUUCACGUUGCCACCUUCCCACCUGCUGCAGUUACCAUCCACAUCACCUCAGAAGAGCAACAG
rnacentral:lncRNA from 1 species